AUUGAACGCUGGCGGCAGGCCUAACACAUGCAAGUCGAACGAGUGGCGGACGGGUGAGUAAUGUCUGGGAAACUGCCUGAUGGAGGGGGAUAACUACUGGAAACGGUAGCUAAUACCGCAUACUAUCAGAUGAGCCUAGGUCGGAUUAGCUAGUUGGUGGGGUAAAGGCCUACCAAGGCGACGAUCCCUAGCUGGUUUGAGAGGAUGCCCAGCCACACUGGAACUGAGACACGGUCCAGACUCCUACGGGAGGCAGCAGUGGGGAAUAUUGCACAAUGGGCGCAAGCCUGAUGCAGCCAUGCCGCGUGUAUGAAGAAGGCCUUCGGGUUGUAAAGUACUUUCAGCGGGGAGGCGUUACCCGCAGAAGAAGCACCGGCUAACUCCGUGCCAGCAGCCGCGGUAAUUC
rnacentral:rRNA from 1 species